ensembl:lncRNA
GUCUGUUUUAAUAAGUUCUACUUCUGAAUAGUUUGUCUUGCUGUCGACUUUUCUAGAAAAGCAAAUCAGACACCAAUUGUGCAGGCAUGAAAAGUUACUCAAUGUUGAACCUAUACACUUUGUUUGUAUUAUGAGAUGAUUGACAACUGAUGAGAUUACUUCUGCUGUACCGCGUUACUUUUGACUUCAAUCGCCUGGUGACCUGCACACCUGUGCUGCUUUUACAGAUGAGGUCAAGCUGCCCUGGUUCCCAGUUCUGAGUCAACACCAGUUGUCUCUUAAAGAAAAGUACUUUGUUGACUAUUUCGGGAGUUCCAGAGCCUGGGUGCUGAACAGCUGAAUGACCGGGCACCCAUUGAACGUGUUGCGGGUACUGGACUGGAUGCCUGGACCCUCCUCAUGGAUAACCGGCCAGAACCGCAUCACCAUUUUAAUAUGAUUUGCAUGUAUUUACCUGUAUGUCCAUUGUGGCACCCAUUGCACUCCUGACCAUCCCUGGAAGAAGGGAUCCCCUACAUUGCGUUUCUUCUCAAGAUUUCUUCCUUGCUGAUUCAAGGGAGUUUUUUCUUGCCCGUGUGGGGGCAUGGGUAAAGGGGGGUGUCACAAAUAUUUGGCCUGUUAAGCCCUUUGAGACUGUAAUGGUGAUUAAGGGCUAUACAAAUAAAAUUGAAUUGAAUU